GACAGAGGAUGCAAACGUUGCUCGGAUUUACUGGGCGUAAAGCGCGUGUAGGCGGUCUCAUAAGUCGAAUGUGAAAGCCCCGGGCUCAACUCGGGAAGUGCAUCCGAUACUGUGAGACUGGGGUACUGGAGAGGAAAGCGGAAUUCUCGGUGUAGAGGUGAAAUUCGUAGAUAUCGAGAGGAACACCAGUGGCGAAGGCGGCUUUCUGGACAGAUACCGACGCUGAGACGCGAAAGCGUGGGGAGCAAACAGG
rnacentral:rRNA from 1 species